AGUGAACGCUGGCGGCAUGCUUUACACAUGCAAGUCGAACGGUAACAGGCCUUCGGGUUCUGACUAGUGGCGGACGGUGGAGUAAUGCAUCGGAACGUGCCCGGAGGUGGUGUUUAACGCGGCGAAAGCUGUGCUAAUACCGCCUGUUAUCGGAGGCGGAAAGCGGGGGACCGGACAGCAAUUUUUGACCUCGCGCCUUUGAAUCGGCCGAUGUCGGAUUAGGUAGUUGGCGGGGUAAAGGCCUACCAAGCCGACGAUCCGUAGCUGGUCUGAGAGGACGACCAGCCACACUGGGACUGAGACACGGCCCAGACUCCUACGGGAGGCAGCAGUGGGGAAUUUUGGACAAUGGGCGCAAGCCUGAUCCAGCAAUGCCGCGUGCGGGAAGAAGGCCUUCGGGUUGUAAAGCGCUUUUGUACGGAACGAAAAGGAUCUGGCUAAUACCUGGGGGUGAUGACGGUACCGAAAGAAUAAGCACCGGCUAACUACGUG
rnacentral:rRNA from 1 species